AUGAACGCUAGCUACAGGCUUAACACAUGCAAGUCGAGGGGCAGCAUUUCAGUUUGCUUGCAAACUGGAGAUGGCGACCGGCGCACGGGUGAGUAACACGUAUCCAACCUGCCGAUAACUCGGGGAUAGCCUUUCGAAAGAAAGAUUAAUACCCGAUGGUAUAAUCAGACCGCAUGGUCUUGUUAUUAAAGAAUUUCGGUUAUCGAUGGGGAUGCGUUCCAUUAGGCAGUUGGUGAGGUAACGGCUCACCAAACCUUCGAUGGAUAGGGGUUCUGAGAGGAAGGUCCCCCACAUUGGAACUGAGACACGGUCCAAACUCCUACGGGAGGCAGCAGUGAGGAAUAUUGGUCAAUGGGCGCAGGCCUGAACCAGCCAAGUAGCGUGAAGGAUGACUGCCCUAUGGGUUGUAAACUUCUUUUAUAUGGGAAUAAAGUUUUCCACGUGUGGAAUUUUGUAUGUACCAUAUGAAUAAGGAUCGGCUAACUCCGUGCCAGCAGCCGCGGUAAUACGGAGGAUCCGAGCGUUAUCCGGAUUUAUUGGGUUUAAAGGGAGCGUAGGUGGACAGUUAAGUCAGUUGUGAAAGUUUGCGGCUCAACCGUAAAAUUGCAGUUGAUACUGGCUGUCUUGAGUACAGUAGAGGUGGGCGGAAUUCGUGGUGUAGCGGUGAAAUGCUUAGAUAUCACGAAGAACUCCGAUUGCGAAGGCAGCUCACUGGACUGCAACUGACACUGAUGCUCGAAAGUGUGGGUAUCAAACAGGAUUAGAUACCCUGGUAGUCCACACAGUAAACGAUGAAUACUCGCUGUUUGCGAUAUACAGUAAGCGGCCAAGCGAAAGCAUUAAGUAUUCCACCUGGGGAGUACGCCGGCAACGGUGAAACUCAGAGGAAUUGACGGGGGCCCGCACAAGCGGAGGAACAUGUGGUUUAAUUCGAUGAUACGCGAGGAACCUUACCCGGGCUUAAAUUGCAUUUGAAUAUAUUGGAAACAGUAUAGUCGUAAGACAAAUGUGAAGGUGCUGCAUGGUUGUCGUCAGCUCGUGCCGUGAGGUGUCGGCUUAAGUGCCAUAACGAGCGCAACCCUUAUCUUUAGUUACUAACAGGUCAUGCUGAGGACUCUAGAGAGACUGCCGUCGUAAGAUGUGAGGAAGGUGGGGAUGACGUCAAAUCAGCACGGCCCUUACGUCCGGGGCUACACACGUGUUACAAUGGGGGGUACAGAAGGCAGCUACCUGGUGACAGGAUGCUAAUCCCAAAAGCCUCUCUCAGUUCGGAUCGAAGUCUGCAACCCGACUUCGUGAAGCUGGAUUCGCUAGUAAUCGCGCAUCAGCCAUGGCGCGGUGAAUACGUUCCCGGGCCUUGUACACACCGCCCGUCAAGCCAUGAAAGCCGGGGGUACCUGAAGUACGUAACCGCAAGGAGCGUCCUAGGGUAAAACUGGUAAUUGGGGCU
rnacentral:rRNA from 1 species